GAUGAACGCUAGCGGCAGGCCUAACACAUGCAAGUCGAGGGGCAGCACAGAAACAGCAAUGUUUUGGUGGCGACCGGCGGACGGGUGCGUAACGCGUAUGCAACCUACCUUUAACAGGGGGAUAACGGAGAGAAAUUUCCACUAAUACCCCAUAACAUCGAACAAGGCAUCUUGAUUGGUUGAAAACUCCGGUGGUUAAAGAUGGGCAUGCGUUGUAUUAGGUAGUUGGUGAGGUAAUGGCUCACCAAGCCUACGAUACAUAGGGGGACUGAGAGGUUAGCCCCCCACACGGGUACUGAGACACGGACCAGACUCCUACGGGAGGCAGCAGUGAGGAAUAUUGGUCAAUGGGGGCAACCCUGAACCAGCCAUGCCGCGUGCAGGAAGACGGCUCUAUGAGUUGUAAACUGCUUUUAAACAGGGAUAAAGCACAGUAUGUAUACUGUGUUGAAGGUACUGUAAGAAUAAGGAUCGGCUAACUCCGUGCCAGCAGCCGCAGUAA
rnacentral:rRNA from 1 species